GGGGGGGNGNNNGGCCUNCCAAGGCGGUGACGNNNNNCCGGCCUGAGAGGGCGACCGGCCACACUGGGACUGAGACACGGCCCAGACUCCUACGGGAGGCAGCAGUGGGGAAUAUUGCACAAUGGGCGCAAGCCUGAUGCAGCGACGCCGCGUGAGGGAUGACGGCCUUCGGGUUGUAAACCUCUUUCGCCAGGGACGAAGCGGGAGUGACGGUACCUGGAGAAGAAGCACCGGCUAACUACGUGCCAGCAGCCGCGGUAAUACGUAGGGUGCGAGCGUUGUCCGGAAUUAUUGGGCGUAAAGAGCUCGUAGGCGGUGUGUCGCGUCUGCCGUGAAAACCUCAGGCUUAACUUGGGGCGUGCGGUGGAUACGGGCAUCACUUGAGUUCGGUAGGGGAGACUGGAAUUCCUGGUGUAGCGGUGGAAUGCGCAGAUAUCAGGAGGAACACCGGUGGCGAAGGCGGGUCUCUGGGCCGAUACUGACGCUGAGGAGCGAAAGCGUGGGGAGCGAACAGGAUUAGAUACCCUGGUAGUCCACGCUGUAAACGUUGGGCGCUAGGUGUGGGGUGCUGUUCACGUGUCCCGUGCCGUAGCUAACGCAUUAAGCGCCCCGCCUGGGGAGUACGGA
rnacentral:rRNA from 1 species